UACAGGGGGUGCAAACGUUGCUCGGAAUCAUUGGGCGUAAAGCGCACGUAGGCGGUCUGUUAUGUCGGCUGUGAAAUCCCGAGGCUCAACCUCGGGUCUGCAGUCGAUACGAGCAAACUAGAGUGUUGCAGGGGAGACUGGAAUUCCUGGUGUAGCGGUGAAAUGCGCAGAUAUCAGGAGGAACACCGGUGGCGAAGGCGGGUCUCUGGGCCGAUACUGACGCUGAGGAGCGAAAGCGUGGGGAGCAAACAGG
rnacentral:rRNA from 1 species